rnacentral:rRNA from 1 species
GACGAACGCUGGCGGCGUGCUUAACACAUGCAAGUCGAACGGAAAGGCCCUGCUUUUGUGGGGUGCUCGAGUGGCGAACGGGUGAGUAACACGUGAGUAACCUGCCCUUGACUUUGGGAUAACUUCAGGAAACUGGGGCUAAUAACGGAUAGGAGCUCCUGCUGCAUGGUGGGGGUGGGAAAGUUUCGGCGGUGGGGGAUGGACGCGCGGCUUAUCAGCUUGUUGGUGGGGUAGUGGCUUACCAAGGCUUUGACGGGUAGCCGGCCUGAGAGGGUGACCGGCCACAUUGGGACUGAGAUACGGCCCAGACUCCUACGGGAGGCAGCAGUGGGGAAUAUUGCACAAUGGGCGGAAGCCUGAUGCAGCAACGCCGCGUGCGGGAUGACGGCCUUCGGGUUGUAAACCGCUUUCGCCUGUGACGAAGCGUGAGUGACGGUAAUGGGUAAAGAAGCACCGGCUAACUACGUG